GAUGAACGCUGGCGGCGUGCAUAACACAUUCAAGUCGAACGGUCUUUUCUAUGGAAGCUUGCUUCCACUGGGAAGAUAGUGGCGGACGGGUGAGUAACACGUGGGUAACCUACCCAUCAGCGGGGGAUAACACUUGGAAACAGGUGCUAAUACCGCAUAAUUCUUUCUUCGCCUGAAGGGAGAUGAAAGCGCUUUUGCGUCACUGAUGGAUGGACCCGNGCUGCAUUAGCUAGUUGGUGGGUAACGCU
rnacentral:rRNA from 1 species